rnacentral:lncRNA from 1 species
CCCCUCCCCGUUCCUCCUUCCUUUUGGGCUUAGCGGCCAUGCCUCCCCUCACGAGCGCCCUGCUCUCCCGCUCCACCACCGGCUCCUCCCCCCGCGUCUCGGCCGCGGCGGCAGCAGCGAUCUCCAGGCCCGCCACCCCGUCGUCCUCGGCUCCCCCUUCCCGCCCGACCCCGAGCCCGCGCCCCAGCCCGGCGUCGCCGUUCGCGUCCGGCCUCGCGGGCCGCCUCUUCGGCGGCCACCGCGCAGCCGCCCGGUCCGCAUCGUCUGCGGCCGCCGUCUUCGAGCGCCGGUUCGCCUCCGCGGGUACGGACUCCGACGACGUGGAUGGGCUAACUGGGUCAAAUUAUUGCAUCUCUCUAAUUGAGUCUCUGUCUCGACUUGUGUUUUUUCCCCUCUCCAGCGACAAAAAACUCUUACGAUGAAAUCCUGACGGGCCUCGGGAAGCCAGGAGGCGGUGAGGAGUUUGGGAAGUACUACAGUCUGCCUGCGCUCUCUGAUCCGCGGAUUGGUGAGUCCGUUGUGUUGCUCUGGUACUCAAUUUUGGCGUGACUUGUUUAAUUGGUAGUGGUGAUGUGGUUUGAUCCUGAGUUUCUGUUGGCGAAUUCAAAUUUAUGAGGUUUGUCUCCUCCGAUCUGUCUUCUUCGCUCAGUUUUGCGUAAUGUGUUUUCGUGUAUGAAUUGAUGGGUCCAGUACUCCAGUUCGGAAGCCCAGAGUGCCCGAUCUGAUCUAAUGCUGGUUGUGCAUGAUUCUGUUGGUGAAACAUGGAAGCCUUGAUGUGCAAAUUGUCUGAAUGGUGAUACCAAUAUAGCUGUAGAAUGUACCACUGUUUGGCUUUUUUAGGUUUUUAUUAUCUCUCCUUUUAUCCUUUUCCCCCCUGAAAGUACUGCUGAUCUGACCCAUGUAUUUGGUUCUUCCUGUCAGAUCGGCUCCCCUACUCUAUAAGGAUUCUUCUCGAGUCGGCAAUCAGAAACUGUGAUGAGUUCCAGGUCACUGGUAAGGAUGUCGAGAAGAUCUUGGAUUGGGAGAACAGCGCAUCAAAGCAAGUUGAAAUCCCAUUCAAGCCAGCCCGUGUUCUUCUCCAGGUACUGAUUUCAACAGUUCCUUUUUUAUAUAUAUGUCCAACUUCUGUGCAUAGAAUAAGUGUGAGCUGGAAAUAUUCCCGUCAAUAGCUUUUGAUUACAGGAAUCUUGCUAUUGGAACUCCACUUUCUUAUCCUAUCGAGAAAGUGGAGUUCCUUGCCCAUUAGCCAAUUGUCUGGUGUUUGAUUGGUACCAUUCGUUGACUUUUUGAGCUGUUUAAUGAUAGACACCGACAUCAGAGCGUUUAGGUGGCAGAAUAAAAGCUAUCUGCAUUGACUGUUCUCAUAACAGUGAUAAAAACUUAACCAUAGCAAGUGCUAUAUAAAGCUGGACGCAUUGCUUAUUUUAGUAUAAUAUUUUCAAAUAAGGUAUAUAGCUGAUGAAUAUUUGCUCUGUGUUCUGAACUAUUAUUAAUUGACUGAUGACUAUCUUUCCCUCCCUACCUCUUGGUUAAAUUACAGGAUUUUACUGGUGUCCCGGCAGUUGUUGAUCUUGCAUGCAUGAGGGAUGCUGUGAGCAAACUUGGCAGCGACCCAAACAAAAUUAAUCCUCUGGUGAGUUCAGUGUAAUGCAAUUCAUUAUCUCUGGUGUUUUUUAUGUAUCUUAUUGCCAUUUGUGCAUUUCUGCCAACCAUACUUCAUUAUACCAUCAACUUGCACGGUAUCUAUAUUUUAAACUCCCAUUAUGAACAUUACCUGUUCUGUUCAUUAUGUAGUGCUUGUUGUUAUUUAAGAAACAUUGCCAUCGCAACCAACAACAGUUGGUGUCACCUUCUCUAAUAGAAAAUUGUAUACAUUAUGGUUGCAAUACAUACCGUAUCUAAUGCAUGUACAUCAUAGGUCAGUCUUUAUUUUUUUAAUUGUUUGUCCAAAUGUAACUCUGUGAUCUUGAAGUUUGAUGUUAGGGCCAAGCAUAUUAUUGCUUUAUAUGGUACUUCAAAGUCUGGCAUAAACUUUGCUAGUUGCAUUUUUCUUUUGAAUUGAAUAUAUUCAUCUUUUGAGUCCGGAAUCUUGAAAGUAAUCAUGUGGAGCCUUUUUCCCUUACUGUUAAUUUAUUUCCUGUAGCUUUUACCUUAACUCAAUCCUUUUACCCUCCAGUUAACUUUUGGUCGCUAAUGCUGCCUUUUUUCAUUCAUCUCUAUAUUGUACAGAAUAUAGAUACUGCAAAUUGAUGCUGGUGCCAUUUUUCUGCUGAUAUGUAAAUAUGUAUGUUUGCAGGUUCCUGUAGACCUUGUUAUUGAUCAUUCAGUACAAGUCGAUGUUGCAAGAUCACAAAAUGCUGUUCAGGCAAAUAUGGAGCUUGAGUUCCAUCGUAACAAGGAACGGUUUGGAUUCUUGAAAUGGGGUUCCUCUGCAUUCCGUAACAUGCUUGUUGUUCCACCUGGGUCUGGAAUUGUCCACCAGGUAAUUUUGUGAUGUCAUCAUUUUGAUAUAACUUUUAUCCUGGCCAAGUUGGCUUUGUUGAUUCGAACUCUUAACCCUCCAUUUGACCUUUUCAGGUCAAUCUUGAGUACCUGGCCAGGGUUGUGUUCAACAAUGGUGGGAUCCUUUACCCUGACAGCGUUGUAGGAACUGACUCUCACACAACUAUGAUUGAUGGUCUCGGUGUUGCUGGAUGGGGAGUUGGUGGCAUAGAGGCAGAAGCUGCAAUGCUUGGCCAGGUGAAGUACAUUUUGAUAUCCAAAAACUCUGUUUCAGAUACCAUUGAACCUUGUUUGAGCCUUGGCAGCGUUAUGUACAAGUACAUUUUCUCUUUGACUGCCAUCUGCUUUGGCAACUUACAUAUUGAAUUUGGCUUCUAUCUGCAGCCAAUGAGCAUGGUCUUGCCAGGUGUUGUUGGUUUCAAGCUAUCAGGCAAGCUGAGGAAUGGAGUUACAGCAACAGAUUUGGUUCUAACAGUAACUCAAAUGCUUCGUAAACAUGGGGUUGUUGGAAAAUUUGUUGAGUUCUACGGUAAUCAUAAUGCCUUUAAUUUUAAUCGAGGCCUUCCUUUACAACAGCUUCAAUGAUGGGCUUCUCUAAUGUAAUAUAUCUGAAACCUGUAAAACUUCAGGGCAAGGUAUGAGUGAAUUGUCACUUGCUGAUCGGGCCACCAUUGCAAACAUGUCACCAGAAUAUGGUGCAACUAUGGGUUUCUUCCCAGUUGAUGGAAAGACACUGGACUAUUUGAGGCUUACCGGCAGAAGUGAUGAUACAGUAAGCUAUUAAUGGCAAUUGUAAUUUUUUGUCUUUAUCUGCAUUGAUGGUAAGACACUAGACUAAUUUUUGUUUCAUAUUUUAGGUGGCCAUGGUAGAAUCCUAUCUGCGUGCUAAUAAGAUGUUCGUCGACCACAACCAGGUGAUUGUUUUUCAUUUGUUGAGCACAAGCAGAUAGUUUGGCGUAUGCUUAGUGCCUUUGUUUUAUUGACACAUUGUCUCGGAUGUAGGUUGAAGCUGAAAGAGUGUAUUCUUCUUAUCUAGAACUUAACCUUGAAGAGGUUGAACCAUGUCUAUCAGGACCAAAACGGUAAUGUACUUGAUUAAAGUGCUAUUAAUAUAUCUUUGUACUCAUUUGAUAAUAUAUUUGUUGUUCCUUUUUGAACAGGCCUCAUGAUCGAGUGACAUUGAAGAACAUGAAGUCGGAUUGGCAUUCUUGCUUAGACAACGAUGUAGGGUUUAAGGUAAGGAUUUCCUCUAUGGAUUGCAAUAACUAUACUUAUUUGUGUAUGCUCCACCAGCCACUUAUUUUAUCAAUUGAUAUCUAGUACACUAGAGUUGUUCAAUAUUUGUCUCAUCGCAGUGAAUUAGGAUACAGGUCCAAACAGUUUUAUGCUUGAUAUUGUUGUGUACUUUGUUUGCCAUUCCCCUCAUCUUAUUCUCACUGCAACCGUAUUUCAGGGAUUUGCUGUCCCCAAAGAAUCACAGAGCAAAGUUGCAGAAUUUUCAUUCCACGGGGCUCCUGCAAAGAUAAAGCAUGGUGAUGUUGUAAUUGCGGCUAUAACUAGUUGCACCAACACAUCAAAUCCUAAUGUAAUGCUUGGAGCUGCUUUGGUUGCGAAAAAGGCUUGUGAAUUAGGCUUGGAGGUUCGGUUCUGAACGACAUCUUGCAUCUUGCUUUUUAACCCUUUUUUUAACAAAAUUAUUUCCCUAUUUAUUACCCUGUCUGACUAGGUUCGCACUGCUUCAAAUCAAAAGACCUGUUUGGUUUAUACCUUACUGAGUUCCGUGCUAAAUAUUCUCUGGCUAUUGUUCCAAAUGAUUUUUUUAAACUUUCUAUUAUGAUAAUGAAAUUAGUUCAAUGCUGCAUUUCUAUGUUUUCUAUGAAUACCAUCAUUUAGUUUAACACUGGUUCAUGUCAAUCAGGUAAAGCCAUGGAUUAAGACAAGUCUUGCACCUGGUUCUGGUGUUGUGAAGAAGUACUUGGAUAAGAGGUAAGUCUUGGUUCCAUGAGCUCAAAUGCCUACCUUGUACUGCCAGCCUUUGUAAUUCUUGCUUUGUUUCCCCUUUGGCAGUGGUCUGCAGAAAUACCUUGAUCAGCUAGGCUUCCAUAUUGUUGGCUAUGGUUGCACAACCUGCAUUGGAAAUUCCGGAGAUCUUGAUGAAUCUGUGUCUGCUGCAAUUUCUGAGAAUGGUGAUCCUGACAACAUUCGAUAGUUAAAAGUGCAAAGUUAUGGAAUAGAGCAUAUUGCUUAUCUUCCCCCUUUCUUUGUAGAUAUUGUUGCUGCUGCUGUCUUGUCCGGUAACAGGAAUUUUGAAGGACGUGUCCACCCAUUAACCAGAGCAAAUUACCUUGCUUCUCCUCCACUAGUUGUGGCUUAUGCCUUGGCUGGCACGGUAAGUGGGUGGGCCCGCUUCUAGUUUGCAACAAAAUGAAUAAAUAAAUGUUUCUUAUUCUGUUAUGAGUUUCUAGCUAUCCUACACAUUUUUACAGGAAGUCCAUUCUUCACUGAUAAACAAAAAUACUGUUAUAGUACAAUUAAUCCAAUUUAUGUAGUUGAAACAAACCAUCAGUGGUACUCCCUGUGUUUUAUUGCUUCAUUUACCGGCUAUUAUUUUAUGCUCACAUGAUUCGUUGCCAUGAAGUUAGUUUCAGUUACUGUGUUCAAACUUCUAUGUGAUUUUUUGUUGUCUUCUUUUUUUGAUGAAUUUUUACUUCUGCUUAGGUUAAUAUUGAUUUUGAGAAAGAACCUAUCGGCAUCUCGAAAGAUGGCAAAGAGGUUUACUUCAGGGACAUUUGGCCUUCCACAGAAGAGAUAUCCGAGGUCAGCAUGCAGCACAGAAACUUUGAUUAUAUUUCAUUGCCUCAACUCACUUUACUUGCGGUAUGAAACCUUGUACUUUCAUUACAUGCUUUUUAUGCUUGUCAUUUUAAUUGCUAGGUUGUCAAGACCAGUGUGCUCCCUGACAUGUUCAAGAGCACAUAUGAGGCGAUCACAAAAGGAAAUCCUAUGUGGAAUGAGCUAUCAGUGUCAGCAAGCACUCUCUACCCAUGGGAUCCAUCAUCUACGUACAUCCAUGAGCCUCCUUAUUUCAAGGAUAUGACAAUGACCCCUCCUGGCCCUCGACCCGUGAAGGAUGCAUAUUGCCUUCUGAACUUUGGUGACAGUAUCACAACUGAUCACAUCUCCCCUGCUGGAAGCAUUCACCCAGAUAGCCCAGCUGCAAAAUAUCUGAAGGAGCGUGGUGUUGAAAGGAAGGACUUCAACUCGUAUGGUAGUCGACGUGGAAAUGAUGAGAUCAUGGCCAGGGGAACUUUUGCCAACAUUCGCCUUGUGAACAAGUUCCUGAAGGGUGAGGUUGGACCAAAAACAAUCCACAUUCCAUCUGGGGAGAAGCUUGCUGUUUUUGAUGCUGCUAUGGUAAUAUAAUUCUAAUCAAUACCAUGUAGUUCAGUGAUACAUGAUAUGUGGCACCAGCGUUCAUUAUUUAUAUUGAUCCAUUCUUUUUUGUUUACUGGCACAGAAAUACAAGAAUGAAGGGCAUGACACUAUAAUCCUGGCUGGCGCCGAGUAUGGUAGUGGAAGCUCUCGGGAUUGGGCUGCAAAGGGCCCAAUGCUUCAGGUAAGUAGUUUCCACUAUUUUCUUCAACUAUGCUGUUAACAAACCUAACUGUGUCACUUAUGGUGACAUAUGUUCACUUGAUGGCUGCAGGGAGUCAAGGCUGUGAUAGCAAAGAGCUUUGAGAGGAUCCAUCGUAGCAAUCUUGCUGGCAUGGGAAUCAUCCCUCUUUGCUUCAAGGCAGGGGAGGAUGCAGACACCCUUGGGUUAACUGGCCAUGAGCGCUACACGAUCCACCUUCCAACCAAUGUGAGUGAAAUCAAGCCUGGACAAGAUGUUACCGUGACAACUGAUACUGGGAAGUCUUUCACUUGCACACUCAGAUUUGACACUGAGGUACGAUUUUUCUCCUGUGCGUUACUUGCUGACGCUGAUUAAAUAAACUGGUAUGCUGAUGUUGUAUUUUUUAUUAACGAUUCAACGUUCAGGUGG